rnacentral:rRNA from 1 species
UACGUAGGGUGCGAGCGUUGUCCGGAAUUAUUGGGCGUAAAGAGCUCGUAGGCGGUCUGUCGCGUCGAUCGUGAAAACUUGGGGCUUAACCCUGAGCUUGCGGUCGAUACGGGCAUGACUGGAGUUCGGCAGGGGAGACUGGAAUUCCUGGUGUAGCGGUGAAAUGCGCAGAUAUCAGGAGGAACACCGGUGGCGAAGGCGGGUCUCUGGGCAUUACCUGACGCUGAGGAGCGAAAGUGUGGGGAGCGAACAGG